UUAGGUUUAAGAUGAUCCAAUGUUUAUCCCUAACAGGUGUCGCUACCGGGAUUUCACGAUAACGGAAUCGGGACUAAAGAGAUGCCAAAGAGAGGCAACGUUAGAAGAGUCGCCACCGAAUUUUAUUUAGUUUACCUCUAUCGGAGAGGAAAGGGGAAAUAGUCGAUAAAACCCUCGGAAAAGAGACGCGCACGGGAAGCACUAAAAGAGAAUAAGGAAUCGGUCUCGCAACCGAGAUUUGGGUUCGGAAGUCGGUUACGUAAGGGAAAGGUAUUAGCACCCCUUAUGUCCAUGGUACUCCAUGGGAACCAUUUGGGUUGUUUUACAUACAUGGGAUUUAUCUAUUAUUGUUUUAUUUUCGAAAGAAUGUGUGAGAGAAAGGGAUGUUUUUGUUAUUAUAGUGCUCGCCAAGGAUUUGGGCCCUUGUGCCUACGUAUCACUUAUUCGGGGAUGAGGAAUCAGAGCUUCGUAGUUCGGAGUAGAAAAAAUUUGUGUAUUGGUUGAUUUUACCUUUGAGAAAAGGGUUUUCAGGAUGAUGCCCUAAGGCACAAAAAUGAGUUUGAUGAGUUGUAUUGUUUUUUACCUUGAAUAAGAGUUUUAUGAAAGAAUGUUUAUGAUUAUUUUGUACUAAAGUCUAUGGGCGGAGGUGAUUAUUCUAGACAACAAGCCAAGCGUCUUGCGUCCAAAAUAAUCAGAGUAAGGGUAGGAAUGCUCAAUUCUCUCUCAUUCUCCACCACUUAAGGCUCGUGGCGCACAAUAAUAAUCAUUAUUAUUAAGUGUUUUGAAUUUGAUUAUAAAAAUGCCACUUGACGUUAAAUCAAGGGUUUGUUUUAUUUAAUUAUGAAAUUUGGCUUAUGCAACAUGAAUGUAAAGUAACCAACAAGAACUUAAAGGGUCUCAUUGUAAGGUAGCCCAAGAGAAAGUCUUUUGUGUGCAAAAGUGACCUAAGUUAAACAAAGGAUAAUGGUCUUACAAACAUGUCCCCCUAAGGUGGUGCCAUGAUGCCAUUCUUACAAUAUGCAUGUAAGUUACGGAUGAAAAUCCAAGUGUUUACAAAGUAUCACAAAGAGUAAAGGAAGGCUUCCAAGCAAAGGUCCUAAGAUGAAAUCCUUUAAGUCCAAGUUGGUUAAGAAUGGAGUGAAUAUUUUUGUUCUUUAUCAUUUUAUCAUGUUUUUUGUUAUUUUUAAUGUAUGAUGACAAUAAGAUAAAUAACAAGUAAAUAAACAUGCAUGAUGAGUUUGUAUAAUGAUAAUGAUAAUGAGUACUUGAAUGUAAAUUACAAGGUAAUGACAUAAAAGUAAAUCACAAGAUAAAGGAUGGUAAUAUCACAAUAAUAAUGGUUAGUGAAUGUAAAUGAACAAUAAAAUAAAUUGCAAGGAAGUAAAGUGCAAUAAUGUAAAUGUUAGAAGUUAGUGGUUAAUGGUUAGUAACAAUAAAAUAAAUUGCAAGGAAUUAAAGUGCAAUAAUAUAAAUGUUAGUAGUUAGUAGUUAGUAGAAUAAUAAUAAGCAAAUGGAUUAGCAAGUCAAUAUAGAGAAUAUGGUUUCAUCUAUGCAUCAAAUGACUCAAAUAUGCGUGAAAUAGAGGCAAUUUAUCAAUGCCUCAAAGUAUCAUGAAUGAUCUAUUGAUCAACCAUUAAUAGGUUUGAAACAUUGAAGAUUUAAUCAACUCUAAACAACCAUGGCCAUGAUCUAAUAAAACUCAUCAACCAAAUAAAUGUAACAACAAGUCAACAAUAAAUAUUAAAUGAUAACAAGAAAUAAGGUUUGAUUGAAAAUGGUGGAUAAAAAAUAGUAAGAGCAAAAAAAUCCCCAAAAGGGUGUAAAUCCAACAAAAACCACUUGUCUCAAAGACUCAAAUCUCUCUCAAAAUACAACCCAAGAGUAAAAAUCCAUUUUCAAACACAAAACAAAACCAAAAAUGUUAAGGAGUUUGAGUCCAAAAUAUUACCAAGAUGGUGGUGUCAAAACUAGGUUAUUGUUGUGUUUGGGUUUGAGAAUGAAGCAAAAAGCUUGGAAGAGGGUGGUUAUGGUUGUUGUGGUAGAAAAAUGGAAGGGAAGGAAGUUGUAUGUUUAUGUGGUGGUGGUGAAUGAUUAUGUAAGUGAAGAUUACAAGUUUGCUACUUUUGUUGUGUGGAGAUGGUGAAUUUUUUACAUGGUGGUUGGGUGGUUCAAAGAAGAAAAUAGGGUUUGGAUGAGUUAGGGUUUAGGUUGAAAAGAGGGAGUUUGAAUGUGAUUUGGGCAGAGGUUUUGUGGCUUUCAAGCUUGAAAAAUGAGUGGGGAUAGUGCUCUAUUAUAGAGGAAGCAAAGGGGUUGAAGUGGGUGAACCAAAAGGUCCUUUGGGUAAAAAACAGAGUCAUUUCUGCUGCCUGCGCAGGUGUAAUCGGUUACCCUGAUUAGGGUAAUCGGUUACACAGUCCCAAAAUGGCCAAAAAAUCAGUUUUUGGUCUGGGUAAUCAGUUACCCUGAUUAGGGUAACCGGUUACCCAAUUUAUUUAUUUUUUUGAAAUAAUGAAUGUACGCAUGUGCAGUAGGGUCAUGGAUUAGAUGAAAAUUGUAUCGGGGUAGGGUGAAUUUUGGGGUAUGACAACAGGCAGUGAUUGAUGUGCAUUAUGUUUCGGUUCAAAGAACCAAUGUAUGAUAUGUUUUAGGUUUGAAAGGACCAGUAUUAGCCUUAACCAACAAAGUUGAUAAUUGGUGUAAGAGGCUCAGAUAAAGAUUAUCUGCAUUUGUUUGAUCAUGUAUCAUGUAUAUCGAAGAUUAGCUUAAGACUUUGGUCCAGUGUUUAGGACUUCGGUUCAAUGUGAAGGAUCGCUCGGUAAAAUAACUAUGAUAUCCGGACUUAGGUCCAUUGUUUAGGACU
rnacentral:lncRNA from 1 species